CGUACUGCCGGAGCACCACCAGCUUCCCGUGAACACAUGUGUGCCGCGCUUACAUGUUUAUCGUGUAUUGUGUGCGUUUAUUGCGUGCUUAUCGUACGCGACAUUCGUCGACUGGGCAUUUUCCGCGUGUUGGGGCGUUCUCCUGCCUUGAUCCAGUGGCGGAUGAUGGUCGUUGUUCGUUGCCACUCAACACAGCCUCACGGGACGCACAGCUUUGUGUCCGCGCUCAAAAGUGCUUUCUUGCUUCGUUCAUCGAUUACUCACGUUGAUCGAGUGAUCGAGUGUACUUCCGAAGACAAUCCGCGUCCGAGUGUUUUGACAAGCGGCGACCGCGGUUCCACAGGAGCGGAAGCUUGAGCCUUUUGACGAGCGACUGUGCCAAACUUGGGUAAGUUGAAGAAGGUCGCUGAACUACGUAACUUUGUUACUUCAUUGCAUGAAAACUGUUUGCAGGAACCGUCGUGUUGGCACAGCGAGGAUGAUCAACAGAUACCCGAUAGGCAGCGAUGAGAGCUGUUCAUGGCACCGACACAGAGGACAGAUUGCAGUACAAGAUAGGAGCAUACUUCCUGCAAGCCCGGGCAAGCCAUAAUGAGUGGUUUCAAAUACAGCAACUGUACCACCACAACAGUGCAGCACAGGAGAGCCUAUCGUCAGUGCCGCGUCGAGAAAUUAAAUAAAAAAGCAC